rnacentral:rRNA from 1 species
CGCGUGUACUGGUCCGGCCGGGUCUUUCCCUCUGUGGAACCCCAUGCCCUUCACUGGGUGUGGCGGGGAAACAGGACUUUUACUUUGAAAAAAUUAGAGUGCUCCAGGCAGGCCUAUGCUCGAAUACAUUAGCAUGGAGUAAUGAAAUAGGACGUGCGGUUCUAUUUUGUUGGUUUCUAGGACCGCCGUAAUGAUUAAUAGGGACAGUCGGGGGCAUCAGUAUUCAAUUGUCAGAGGUGAAAUUCUUGGAUCUAUUGAAGACUAACUACUGCGAAAGCAUUUGCCAAGGAUGUUCUCAUUGAUAAGGAACGAAAGUUAGGGGAUCGAAGACGAUCAGAUACCGUCGUAGUCUUAACUAUAAACUAUGCCGACUAGGGAUCGGACGAUGUUAUUUCUUGACGCGUUCGGCACCUUUCGAGAAAUCAAAGUGCUUGGGCUCCAGGGGGAGUAUGGUCGCAAGGCUGAAACUUAAAGAAAUUGACGGAAGGGCACCACCAGGGGUGGAACCUGCGGCUUAAUUUGACUCAACACGGGGAAACUCACCAGGUCCAGACACAGUGAGGAUUGACAGAUUGAGAGCUCUUUCUUGAUUCUGUGGGUGGUGGUGCAUGGCCGUUCUUAGUUGGUGGAGUGAUUUGUCUGCUUAAUUGCGAUAACGAACGAGACCUUAACCUGCUAAAUAGCCCGUACUGCUCUGGCAGUUCGCCGGCUUCUUAGAGGGACUAUCGG